AGUGAACGCUGGCGGUAGGCCUAACACAUGCAAGUCGAACGGCAGCACAGUAAGAGCUUGCUCUUACGGGUGGCGAGUGGCGAACGGGUGAGGAAUACAUCGGAAUCUACUUUUUCGUGGGGGAUAACGUAGGGAAACUUACGCUAAUACCGCAUACGACCUACGGGUGAAAGCAGGGGAUCUUCGGACCUUGCGCGAUUGAAUGAGCCGAUGUCGGAUUAGCUAGUUGGCGGGGUAAAGGCCCACCAAGGCGACGAUCCGUAGCUGGUCUGAGAGGAUGAUCAGCCACACUGGAACUGAGACACGGUCCAGGCUCCUACGGGAGGCAGCAGUGGGGAAUAUUGGACAAUGGGCGCAAGCCUGAUCCAACCAUACCGCGUGGGUGAAGAAGGCCUUCGGGUUGUAAAGCCCUUUUGUUGGGAAAGAAAAGCAGCAGGUUAAUACCCCGCUGUUCUGACGGUACCCAAAGAAUAAGCACCGGCUAACUUCGUG
rnacentral:rRNA from 1 species